UACAGAGGGGGCAAGCGUUGUUCGGAAUUACUGGGCGUAAAGGGCGCGUAGGCGGCCUUCUAAGUCGAACGUGAAAUCCCCGGGCUCAACCCGGGAACUGCGUCCGAUACUGGAAGGCUUGAAUCCGGGAGAGGGAUGCGGAAUUCCAGGUGUAGCGGUGAAAUGCGUAGAUAUCUGGAGGAACACCGGUGGCGAAGGCGACUGACUGGACAUGUAUUGACGCUGAGGUGCGAAAGCGUGGGGAGCAAACAGG
rnacentral:rRNA from 1 species